rnacentral:misc_RNA from 1 species
AAGGAAAACAAUCGAGGUCUUAUUUGAUACUAUUUUAUUUUGAGUGUUCAAUCACUCUAUUGCACAUUGAAAAACGAAUACUAUUAACGAAAAAUCUAUAACAAAACCGAAAAAAGAUUGAAUAGAAAAACCUAUUUAUUCUUUAACAAAUUCUUUAGUCAAGAAAAGACACAAAGACCAAAAUAUA